UGGGGAAUAUUGCACAAUGGGGGAAACCCUGAUGCAGCGACGCCGCGUGGAGGAAGAAGGUCUUCGGAUUGUAAACUCCUGUUGUUGAGGAAGAUAAUGACGGUACUCAACAAGGAAGUGACGGCUAACUACGUGCCAGCAGCCGCGGUAAAACGUAGGUCACAAGCGUUGUCCGGAAUUACUGGGUGUAAAGGGAGCGCAGGCGGGAGAACAAGUUGGAAGUGAAAUCCAUGGGCUCAACCCAUGAACUGCUUUCAAAACUGUUUUUCUUGAGUAGUGCAGAGGUAGGCGGAAUUCCCGGUGUAGCGGUGGAAUGCGUAGAUAUCGGGAGGAACACCAGUGGCGAAGGCGGCCUACUGGGCACCAACUGACGCUGAGGCUCGAAAGUGUGGGUAGCAAACAGG
rnacentral:rRNA from 3 species